rnacentral:lncRNA from 1 species
AAAAAAUUAAACAUGGAUUCACCAUAUGAUUUAGUAAUUCCAUUUUUGGUUGUAUAUCCAAAAUAAUUGAUAGUAGGGAUAUUAUAAUUUGAAUUUCAGCUCUGUCACAUACUGUGUGAUCCCGGGCAAAUCAUUUCAUGUCCUGAGCCUCAGUUUUUUUUUAUUUGAAAAGUAUGUACAAUAAAUGUUAAUUCCCUUCUCAUCCUGAUGAACCCAGUCUAAUUCCCUUUAAGAUUGGGAGUCAUCUCGUCACAAAGUCACGAAAAGUUAAUUUCUGUUUUACUAUAAAAUACUGAGAAUUCUAAACUUGUUGGGAAUUCCUGCCUGUGCUCUGAACUCACCCAUGCCUGGCUCUCCUUGACCAGAUAGCUACCCUCCCUAAAACCUUAGUGGCACCUCAUAAAUCCUUGUUCUCCCUGACCAGAUAACAACCCUCUCUGAAACCUUAGUGGCGCCACAUAAAUUCUGAUGUUGGGAUCUGAAAUUACUCCCUACCUUGAAAUACCAUGCUUGUAGAUCAUUAAUCUACUCUCUGCCCUUGUAUUCCGUUUGCCAGAACCCUAUUAGCUGUAAGUUCCCAAGACACCCCUUUGCAACUUUUUGUGCUAUAAAAACCUUUUCUUCCCUGAGAGCGGGGCUGUCUUCAAGUCCUGAAAUUUUGGGUGAGGAAGCUGCUGGCCAGCUCUCUUCAUGUCCACAAUAUCAGCUUGCUUUAAUUUGGUUUAAAAUUGGAGUCAGUGGUCUUUUCUUUGUGUCGUGGUUCAACAUCCCUCUUGGAGGAAGAGGGAUAAUUUGGCACUGGAUGGGGGCAUUGGUUGCUCUUGAAUGACAGGGAGGCUGCCUCUCUUUAGGUUAUUGUUGAUCCCCUUCCCCCAUCUCCACAGUUGGCAUCAGUGUUGCCCCGUCUGGAGGUUGGCCAGAGAGGCAGUGUCCCAGAAGUAACUUUACACACACUUAUUGUGUACACUGUG